AGGGAUCAGGCAGUGUAGGACAGAUCAGAUUUACCAGAAGCAAAGAGCCCUGAGGUUUGUCCUGCCCCAGAUGUUCUGGGUGCAUCUGUGGAGGUGGUACAUGAAGCGUCUUAUGUUGGGCAUUAGAAGACGUGUGGUGCUAAUGCUGUUCACUAAAUAUCCCAGCUCUCCAUUGUCUGGGCCAAGGUGGGCUUGUGCCUCCUGGUCCCUUGUGGUUGGGUGGGGUCAGGGGACUAGCGCUGGCCAAAGAGCUAAGAGUGGAUAUGAUGUGUGUAAUUUAUGGACCAAAGCGUUUAAUUGUGUGCAACCCUCAGAGUUCUCUCCCUUUCUUCCGUGGAGGCAGGUCACAUUCAGGAUGCUGGCUAUUCCUUUAGCCUACUUCUUGAAUGAGGAAACGUGGGACAGGACCCCCAGCUGACCCACGAUGGACUUGUGACAUUCAUCGGAGAGAAACUUUGCUGUGUUCUGAGUUACUAAGAUUGGGAUUGUUUCUUAAUGCAGCAUAACCUGGUCUAUCCUGGCACACCCCUGCUGGCUUCCUUCCUCGGACCAGAGGCCCAGCCAGGGACUGUCAUAUGUGAGAGGUCUGUCAGCAAGUGGGAGAUGGAGGGCAGAUCAAAGCAGCCCUUAGUCUCCACCUGAGCCAGGGUGGAGUGCACUUCUUCAUGGGAGUGGAUAUAACAGAGCCUUUAGCCAAACCAGACAAAAGGUGCCAGAUGAAGGUUCUGGAUGUGGAUUCCGCUUCUAAUCAGUCCGUGUUAAGGGCAGACGCUCUAAUGUCACCAGAUAUCCUGAGGCUGUUCCACCAACCUCUUGGUGCCUGUACUGGAGCCAGAUUUUUCUGCCUGGUCCAGGGUUUGAAUUUUAACCUAAGAUUAUGGUAUGUUCUGGUAGGUUUUACCCUCGUGGUCAGGGGCAGGAGCUGUUUUAUUUAUUGCUAUAUUCCUCGCCCAUGGCUGGGACCAGCUGGCAUUCAACAAGUGUUUGCUGACCAAGGAAUGAGACCAUGUGACAAAAACUUCACCCCCUCUUCGUAGGAGGCUGCUGAAGAAACCCCAGACGACCCAUGGAAACAGCCACCCUGGGGACCACUGUGCCGCCCUGCUGUCUGGACAUGGGAGGAUCCUGGAGUUUCUCUGACCAGCGCCUCAGUCUUUGCUUGAGGAAUAUGUCGAGACGAGAGCCAAACCCAAGCCUGUCUCCACCAGAGCCUGUGCCCUUUACACAGACAGUAGUUCGCGUAAGUCUGAUCUUUUUAAUGUCCUGGUAUUCUCUUGGUCCAUUUCCUUUCAUGUUGCUUUUCUUUUUAAUAAAGUCUAACGUCAAACUCC